UACGAGUGCCCCGAGCGUUAUCCGGAAUCAUUGGGCGUAAAGGGUGUGUAGGCGGUUUUGUUGGGCUUCUGUCAAAUUCUUCGGCUUAACCGGGGGCUCGCAGAGGAAACGGCAAAACUUGAGGAUGGGAGAGGUGAAUGGAACUCAUGGUGUAGGGGUGAAAUCCGUUGAUAUCAUGGGGAACACCAAAAGCGAAGGCAAUUCACUGGCCCACUCCUGACGCUGAAACACGAAAGCGUGGGUAGCGAAUGGG
rnacentral:rRNA from 1 species